rnacentral:lncRNA from 1 species
GCCCGGCACAACCAGACGCCCAGUCACAGGCGAGAGCCCUGGGAUGCACCGGCCAGAGGCCAUGCUGCUGCUGCUCACGCUUGCCCUCCUGGGGGGCCCCACCUGGGCAGGGAGUAAGUCAGUGGGGUCUGCCCUCAAUCUCCCCUGCCUCCCUCCAGGAGAGCCAGGGACUCACCCGGCCCUUGUCCCAGACUAACUCUGGUCACAGAACCAUCCUGUCUGCCUGGAGGGGUGGGGUCCCCUGUUCUGGCAGAGGUCACCCCCAUAUCACCGCAUGGGGAUUUUCUUCCCUUUGGGUCUCUCUUUUCUUCAGAGAUGUAUGGCCCUGGAGGAGGCAAGUAUUUCAGCACCACUGAAGACUACGACCAUGAAAUCACAGGGCUGCGGGUGUCUGUAGGUCUUCUCCUGGUGAAAAGGUGAGUAGGGCUAUGGUCAUGGGCCCAGCGCCAUGUCCCCUCCCAUCCCACAGUUUCAGGAACUCAGGGCAGGGGGUAAGCACCCGUGGCCACUUUUGCCACACAUGCCUGGCUACUGUCGAUGCUUCCUGGCUCCCGCUGAUGCUUCCUGGCUGGAGCGGAGACGGUCAGACCGUCCUCCCUAC